AAAGAAUAAAUUGCUUUGGUUCAAAUGAUGUGACAUGACUGUCUUGUUUAGUGGAUCAAUUUCAUAUAAUGUGUUAGUUGAGGAAGAAAUGAGUUAAAAGAGAAUGUGUUGAAAUUAUUUCCUUGCUGGGACGUAUAGAUUGUUAUUAUUGUAUUCUCCCUUGUCGGGAUAUUUAAUACUAUAUGUUUAUUUCCCUCAACUUGUGAUUGUUAAUUUGGUGAGGAAGAGUGAUUAUGCGGGCUUUUCCGUGUCAUGUUUUGAAUAAUUAUGCACGAAGGGUCAUUCUGUGUCAUGUUUUAAAUAAUUAUGCACGAAGGUCAUUCUGUGCCUUGAUAUGAGAGUAUGUGAGUAAAAGCACGAAGGUUGAUACCGUGCACUUUAUUUGACUAUUUUGGGGAAACGAGAGUAAAAGCACGAAGGUCGGUACCGUGCAGAUGUUGA
rnacentral:lncRNA from 1 species